UUCACAUACAAAUUAGUAUUUUCGACUCUAUUGGACCAAGAUUUUUCCAAAAAUUCGUUUUAGGCCCGCCACUGAAAAUAGCUGAAAAUAUUGUUUUUAAAUUCGUAGCCUACAUCAGUUUUAAUAUAUUCGAGACUUAUUCGUCACCGCCAAGGCAAAACGUAAAACUGCGGGAAUUUUAUCUAAUAUGCAGCGUUGAGGUGACAUUCAGAGGCUUUUACGAAUUCAGUUGUCAAACACCGGAGACAAAUUGAAUUACUUGUUUAUUGAAAAGUUCAACCAAAAAGUCGCCAGGAAUAAGUCAUGAAUAAUAAUACUGAAAUUUAUUUAGGGGGAAGAAUAGGAUAAUGAAAAUGAGUCCCCAAGCGGAAGUAGAAAAGCAUUGGAAACAAGCAGAAUUGAACCAAAGCCAACUUUAGUAUCAACGUAUCAACAGACGACGGACAAUGAUGUCUUUUAAAACAGAAC